AAGAACAUGGCCGUGACGCACGCUGGCCGAUAUACACCGUGCCAAUAUACACCUGCUAGCUAGCUUAAUAAGCUUAAGGUGGAGGAGGCUCACGAGCUUGAGCUUGUUGAGGGCGUCGCCGCGGAGGGGCACCUCGCCGCCGCCGCACUCCCGGAUCACCUCCUCCCUGAGCCGCUGCUGCCACUCCGGGUGCGUCCCGAGGAGGAACAGGGCCCAAGUGAGGAGGUGCGCGGUCGUGUCGUGGCCGGCGAAGAAGAAGGUCUUGCACUCGUCGAUGAUUUCGUCCAUGCUCAUGGCCUGCUGCUGCCUCUUGCCGCCGCCGUCGCCGGCGGCGUUGGCCUCCAACAUGAGGCCGAGCAGGUCGCUGCCGUAGCCCCUCGCCUGCUUUGCAGCGGCGAGGCGCUCGCCGAUGAUGGCCAUGAGCGUGCCCCGCACCGUGCGCUCGAGCUUCCAGCGGCGCAUGUUGGCCUUGGUGGGCACGUACUGCAUGCCCGGCACGCGCACGCUGUUGAUGGAGGCGAAGGCGAUGAACUGGAGCUCCCGCUGCGCCAGGAACACCUCUUUCCCCUGCCGGUAGCUGCUGCCGAACGCCGUGUGCGAGAUCACGUCGGCGGUGAGCUCCGUGAACUGCUGCCCUACCUCCACCGUCACCGCCUUCUCCCUGCUCGCGGCGGCGCGCGCCUCCCACGUCCGUAUCACCUCCGCCGCGCACGCCGCCAUCGCCCCCGUCAUCGCCUUGAGCUUGUCCAUGGCGAACGCAGGGUGCACGACGCGGCGGUGGCGCGACCAGUCGUCGCCGUUUGUGAAGGCGAGGCCCAUGCCCAUCAGGGACAGUAUGGUGGGGCCCGGGUCCGUCUUGCCGUACAGCCCCGACUUGUCGGAGAGGAUCCGCUUCACCAUGUCGUAGCUGCCCGCGAACAGCGCAGGAGUCGAGCUGGACCACGUCAGGAACACCUUGCCGUAGAGCGACAUCCACGCGCGGUACUGCGGCAUCACGCGCGGGAUGUAGUCGUGGGAGGUGAGCUCCAGCGUGUCGCCGCUCGUCGCCGCGCGCAUCGCCUGAACCUCCUUGCUGUUGCCCACCAAGACACGGUACGGCGGCCCGCGGACGCCCUGCCGCGCGAACGCCCUCGCCACGGCGUAGGGGCGCCACACCAGGUGGAGCAGAGCCGUCCAUAGCCUGGUGACCACCACCACGGCGAGGGCGGCGGCGACCAGCGCGACACCUCCCGUGCCCAUGUCGAGCAACGAACAGGAUACGAUCGAGAACUCGGCGUGCACCCUGAGAAGCGAACUGCAAGACGCACGGAGGUCGGAGGAGGGUAGUAUACUGAGCUGUGAUGUCCUCGUGUGUUCCUCUUAUGAAGCAGAAGCUGAAUUGCCGUCGUAAAAUACGGUGUCGAUGACAAAUUUUCAACAGCUUCUCUGCUUCAUUUGGAGCUUUCUCGUGCGUCCGGCGAUGUCACCAGAGACUGAUUGCGAGUUGCGACCAACCGUCAAGCACAAGGUAAGAGCUUUUGUCUGACGUGGGAAGUUGCUGUCUUGCUGACGUGACGGCAAAGAUGUGCAUGCAGCCCGUGGGCCCGAGGCACGGCCCAAGGCACGGUGAAAAACGGGCGCGUGCCGGCCCGUGGCACGUAGCAGGCCAUGCCUGAGCUGAUGCCUCGGCACGCCGGGACGGCAUGGCCUGGCCCGCUAACAACGGCCGGCCCGUUAGCGGCCCGGACAAGUAUAUAAGCCGAGGGGAGGGGGCGCCCUUACCCUAAUCCCAUUCGGCGCCGCUCCCCCUCCCCGCCUGCGCCACUGCUGCCCGCUGCGCUCCCCACGACGGCACGACCUCACCCCACCCUACCCCAAACCCUAAUCCCUGCCUGCGCCCCGCUCUCGGUCGAGCACUAGUCGUCUUCCUGCACUCCGACGAGGUCUCCACCACCGGAUCUACAAUAUCCUCGUUCGCUUCCACUCUUCCCCAUCUCCGCCGCCCGUCUCCUCCAUUUCUUCGUCGCUGGCCUUCGUCUCUAGCUCUCCGCCGCUCGUCUUCUCCAUUUCUCCGACGCCGGGCUCCGUUUCCGAGUAGGUAAGCACCUCGUCUCCGCCGCUCGUCUACCUCUUCUCCUUCUCCAUCUAAACCCUAUAUCCAAAUCCGUUUAUCCUCUUCUUCUUCUUUGUUCGUAGGUAGCCGGCGUCAAGCUAGUGCCGCCGAAGGCGUUGAGGAUGAACUGAUUCGCAGGUCAUCGGAAUUGAUUCAUAUGUUUUUUAGAGGUGCUUUCCAUGCUUGCCGCGUGGUUUGAUUCAUGUGUUUUUAGUGGUGUGGGCUGCGGGCUAUCCCGACAGCCGGGCCUCGUGCUGAACGGGCUGACACGGCAUGUAAAACAGUCCACGGACCAUGCCUGGGUCGUCAGCCAAGCACGGUGUCUUUUGUCGGCCCAGCACGGUGGCACGCGGGCCCGUGCCUUACCGGGCCAUGCCGAGCACGUGCUCGUGCCAUGUCGGGCCGUGCCGGCCCGUUGCACAUCUUUACGUGACGGACAGUUGCAGACUUCAAGCGAUCUCGUAACCCUUUUUGAGGUCUAGUAUAUCAGAUUUUUUUUUUGGACUAGUACAUCUGAUCUCGCAAACCGUGAACCGGUAUCCUUCCUUGCCGACUCCCUAUCUGAUGCCUGAUUCCCUAUACUGAACUGACAGACAAGCCAAAUAUUCAGAGUUCCAGACAGCACCUCCCGUCUAAAAAUCAUUGCCCUUAAAGAUGAAAUGAUGGACAAAAAAAGUCUUCCUAAUAAAAUUUGCAUUCUCCCAUGCAUGUAGCUUUAUUAUAAGCAGGUAGGUUGAGCCACUCAAUCAAUCAUUGGACUACUGAUUCGUAGUUGCGACUUGCGAGGGACAAGACAGCGUUGAAGAAUCAUAAUUACCGGGGCCACUUUGAGAUUUGAUCUUGCCAUGAUCAUCAAUCAGAGGAAGGUUAGGGCAUGGGACAACUUGUGGACCAAGGUGUUGUUUAAGCUGGCUGACACGGAAGAUAGAGCGAAGUUGACAGCCCUCUGACAGUAGUAAUUUGUAAGUUGUAUGCCACUUUGACAUUCGAGUCCAAAGUGCGAAAGGGACCGCAAUAAUAGGAGUGGAGUUUUAGAUCUUUGCGAAUGCUGAGUGAAGCGCAACGCUUUAGGUAGACCAAGCCACCAGUGUUGAAUUCCCUCUCUUUCCUGUGUUUGUCAGCUUGAAGCUUGAUUAUGGAUUAAGCUAUGUGAUGAAGUGCAGCUUGAAGUCCUCGACGCAAUCUACAUCUUUAUAGUUGAAAAGGUUUUGAAUUAAAAUAGUUUAGGAUCCAAAAAUAUUUUUGUAAAUGUUUAGAUUUUGUAAUUUAAAAUUUAGAAUUAACAAACGAUCUUAGAUAUUGACAUGAUAUAUAUGAAAGUUAUAGUUUUUAAUACGAUCUACAACUUUGUAGUUGAAAAUUUUAUUUAUUUGAAGUCGUUUAGUGUCACAUAAUUUAAUUUUAAAUUUUAAAAUCUAUAAACUUACAAAACUAUUUUGGGACCUUAAACAGUUUCAAUUUAAAAACUUCUUAACUACAAAGUUGUAGAUCGCAUUGAUGACUAUAAUUUUGAUAUAAAGUUUAUAUUGAAUCUAGUUCAUGUAAAAAAAUAUGUAAUAUAGAGUUUUUAGAUUUGUUGUAUUUUGACUCAGAUGAGACUCAAACCAAGUUUAGCGACUAGGAUGACACAAAUGAACAUGUUUGAGGGACCUAUAUGUAGAUUUCCCACUUUAGGGAUCGGGAUGACAUACUCAAACAGGUUUAGAGACCUAAACGGUUAUUUUGUAAGUCAGAAAGCAGGAUGACACACAAGGGAUCGAUAAUGGACUUUAUAAAAGAGAGAGAAGGUAACACUGACACUGGCAUGAGGAAUCACAACCAACUACUAUCAUCAUCAAACUGAAGAUGGAGGUCAACAGACAACAGGACUGCAACAUGUUUCUUGCCUACGGAAUCUCAAAUGCCUCAACUGGCCAAAGUGUGCGGAUCCAAGAGCCUGAGCACGACGGGGAGCCCUUUCGACGGCUGCACAGUCAGGAAGGCGGCCGGCGCGUGCACGUACUCCGGCGCCACCUCGAAGGCGAACCGCCGCAGGAUGAGCGCCAGCGUCACCUUGGCCUCCAGCAUCGCGAAGUCCUUCCCGAUGCAGGACCGUUGGCCCAGGGAGAAGGCCAGCAGCGCGUUCGGGUGCGCCGCCGCCCUACCCACGCCGUCCCGAAACCGGAGCGGAUCGAACUCGCCGGCGUCCGAGCCCCACACCUCCUCGUCGCGGUGGAGCAUCGGGAACGGGAUCGCCAGGUGCGUGCCCUUGGGCACCUUUAUGCCACAGAGGUCCACGUCCGCCGUCGCCUGCCUGUUGAUAAUGUUCACCGGUCCGUACAGCCGGAGCGUCUCGUACAGCACCAUCGUCACCUGCAAAUGAACCACGGCACCGUCGAUCAGGGUUUAGUCACUGUGAUCUUGUACUUCUCGUUCAUGGCCGGCCGAUCAGGGCUUUAAUUUAAUUCCUUACAAGCUUGAGCUUGUUGAGGGCGUCGCCGUCGAGGGGCACCUCGGCGCCGCCGCACUCGCGGAGCACCUCCUCCCUGAGCCUUUGCUGCCACUCGUGGUGGGUGCCGAGGAGAAACAUGGCCCAGGUGAGGAGGUGCGCGGUCGUGUCGUGGCCGGCGAAGAAGAAGGUCUUGCACUCGUCGAUGAUCUCGUCCAUGCUCAUGGCCUCCUGCGUCUUGCCGUCGUCUCCGGCGGCGUUGGCCUCCAACAUGAGUCCGAGCAGGUCGUUGCCGUAGCCCUUGGAUUCCUUAGCCGAGGCCAGGCGCUCGUCGAUGAUGGCCAUGAGCGUGCCCCGCACGGUGCGCUCGAGCUGCCACCGGCGCAG
rnacentral:lncRNA from 1 species